rnacentral:rRNA from 1 species
CGACGACGCUGGCGGCGUGCUUAACACAUGCAAGUUGUACGGUACGACAUGGAAGCUUGCUGAAGUGUCGUAGAGUAGCGAACGGGUGAGUAAUGCAUGAGAAUCUGCCCUUUGAGGGGGACAACAGCUGGAAACGGCUGCUAAUACCCCGUAAGCCGGGAGGUGAAAGGUACGCGAGUACUGCCGGGGGAUGAGCUCAUGUCCUAUCAGCUGGUUGGUGGGGUAACGGCCCACCAAGGCGACGACGGGUAGCCGGCCUGAGAGGGUGACCGGCCACACUGGAACUGAGACACGGUCCAGACUCCUACGGGAGGCAGCAGUGGGGAAUUUUGGGCAAUGGGGGAGACCCUGACCCAGCGACGCCGCGUGAGGGAAGACGGCCUUCGGGUUGUAAACCUCUUUUGUACGGGAAGAUAAUGACGGUACUGUACGAAUAAGUCCCGGCUAACUACGUG